GACGAACGCUGGCGGCGUGCUUAACACAUGCAAGUCGAACGGAAAGGCCCUGCUUUUGUGGGGUGCUCGAGUGGCGAACGGGUGAGUAACACGUGAGUAACCUGCCCUUGACUUUGGGAUGACUUCGGGAAACUGGGGCUAAUACCGGAUAGAAGCUCCUGCUGCAUGGUGGGGGUUGGAAAGUUUCGGCGGUUGGGGAUGGACUCGCGGCUUAUCAGCUUGUUGGUGGGGUAGUGGCUUACCAAGGCUUUGACGGGUAGCCGGCCUGAGAGGGUGACCGGCCACAUUGGGACUGAGAUACGGCCCAGACUCCUACGGGAGGCAGCAGUGGGGAAUAUUGCACAAUGGGCGGAAGCCUGAUGCAGCAACGCCGCGUGCGGGAUGACGGCCUUCGGGUUGUAAACCGCUUUCGCCUGUGACGAAGCGUGAGUGACGGUAAUGGGUAAAGAAGCACCGGCUAACUACGUG
rnacentral:rRNA from 1 species